UCCGGGGAUAGGGUCUGCAGCCCGACAAAGCGGACAUCCUGCUCUGCUUUCCCCGGAUCACUCACAGGG
rnacentral:sRNA from 1 species